ACCAGUCACUUCCAAAUCCAAUAGCAUGGUCCCACUUAUACACACAAAACCACAUUUCUUUAGAGCUGAAUGCCUCCUAUAGGGCUGCAAUGCAACCCGUCGCCACCAUGGGAAGAUCCUUUCUAUUGAAAGCACAGGGGAGGGGAGGGGGUGUUCUGAUAAGGAGUAGAAGUGUCUCAGGACUAGAGGCAGAGUCAUUUUAGUAUGCCUGGCUGUUCACCAUAUUACCCAUCUGCCACUCCAAAGUCAACAGUGGUUUUACCAGCUCUCCAAUUUUCCACGGAUCACAAUAAAGAUUUUCAUUAUGCAUCCCUGCCCCGGGGGACAAUUGUCAUUACAAGGAAGGGAUGAUUGGACCUGACAAGCGUCUUCUAGUGGGACUGUAACUAACAAGAGAAAACCUUCAAUUACUCAAUGACAUAAUGUUAGCUUUCCAAAUCCCAGCCUUAGUCAUUUUUCAUGCCACUAUACACAGAAAUGAAGUGUUGAAAACACAGCAGUGUUAUUUUUGCAAAUAAUUUACGUUGACUAAUACACGUUUUUCCCUAUAAUAUAAUAUUAUCUUUC